UUUUAAGCAUAGAUUUAGUAAGCGCGCGGUCUUUGAGCUAAAAUAUAUUUUUUCUAGUUUCGUAAAUGUCGAAAAUUUAAGUAUUAUCCCGCGCGCGUGCCUUUUCUAAAUCUACGAGAGUCAUAGUGAAUUUAUUAAUAUUCUUCAUUGUUGUUCUUAUGUCUGUGAUUUGCACACCUUAUGAAAGAAAUAAAGUGAUAAAACAUACUUUAUCUCAAAAGUAAGCUUAUGGUAGAGAACUAGAGAUUAACGCUCUGUCCCGUAUCUUCUCUUCCUUGCAUGAGUGAAAUGAAAAAUAUGACGAUGUGUGUAUUUUUCUCUCUCCACAGAUCGACACACGCCAAAUGAAACGUGACUAUAUUUAUAAAUAUUAAAUUACUCUGUUAUAUUAUUCCCUUUUGCCAAAUGAGCCGUUGGCACAUCACAACUAAAUUAUACCUAUAAAUUAUAAAUUUUAUUUUGUUAAAUUAUUCUUUUUAUUAUUAUAUAUUUUAUGCAAUAAACUAAAUGGAAACGAUAUCCAAUAAUCUAAAGAAGGACGUGUUUAAUAAGCUACCAAACGUCAAUGCGUGUUGUUUUGUCGUGCCUUUAAAAUAUGGUUGCGGUUUUAUAGGAAUCUACUAUUUGUUGUGGGGUUCCAUAAUUGGUCAAGAUUUUGUCACUGCAUACUUAAUGUUAAUUGUAGGGUUAAUCAAAGAGGACAAGUAUACAUGUUUUGAGGGUGUUCGUAUGUCUGGCUGUACACAGAGUAUACUACGUAGCGCCCGUGGUUUCGUUACCUUUUACGAUGUCAUAUUACGGGCUGCCAGCGCGAUAUUGCUUAUAGGAGUUUAUAAUAUUGAGAAACCUAUAACAGCAACCAUUUUUUUAUACGUCUACACUAUAACAAAGAUUUUUGACAUAUUAAUUCUUAUUUUGCUUAUUGCAAUUGGAUCAGUUGGCACUUGUCCGACAAGUAAAUGGAGCAAGCUUUCCUGUAUCAGUAUGAUUGCCCUUGCUGUUAUUUUGGCUAUUUACGUGCUUAUCAUUGUUAAAAGUUAUAGAAAAACAAUAAGUACGACGACAGAUAGCAGUGAAAAUUGAUUUGGUAGUGUGCUCGGAUUAAAUGCAGUUUUUACUGGAACGGGCACUAUUAUCGGGGAAGACAUUGGCAGUAAAUACGUGACGAUAUCGGGAGAUUACAACAAGAAUAUCAGUGGACAUUUUUAUCGAUACACAUGUUUUGAGGGCACACACAGCGAGCGUUGCACACAAAAGGGAUUUCAGACGACAUUAAACAUAUUGUUCCUUAUUUUUCUUGAUUUUACGUUGAGGUGUGCAAGUGUGGCGUUGCUUGUCGGCGUUUUCAUUAAACAUGUCUUGGCUAUAACAGCUUUCCUAUACGUUUAUGCCAUUGUGAUCAUCAUUAACAUACUAGCCCUUAUGAUAUUGAUAUGUAUAGGCUUCUUUGGUUCCUGCCCGACCGCUGUGCCUAGCAAGUACGCAUGUAUGGUUACAAUUCUCAUUGCAGUUGUUGUGAUAUCUCGUCUUCUCGUUCUUAUAGAACUUUAACGAGCUCUAUUGCCUAAUGGUCAUUAUGUCUACCGCAUUGAAGGUUCUGGUUUCGAUCUCUGGUCAGUUCAAGAUGGUUCAUCUUUUACAGAUAUAUGAUAAUAUGGUCAGUUACUAUAUAUACGUAACAGAAAUAAUAAUGAAAAUAAAAUAUGGUCAGAAAAAGAUUAUUAGAUUUUGCAGUUAAAGCGAGGUUCUAUUCUCAAUAUUUCCUUUAAAGGACCAAGGCCUAAAACAAUGACGAUGUGUCUAGAACUAGAUGCAACUGAGACCGGCUGUACCUAGGUCCUGCCGGCUAAACCUAGGUGUCGAAGAAUCGACUAUGUAUAAAAUUUAUAAUUAAAUUU